rnacentral:misc_RNA from 1 species
GAUGAAGAACGCAGCGAAAUGCGAUAAGUAGUGUGAAUUGCAGAAUUCAGUGAAUCAUCGAAUCUUUGAACGCACAUUGCGCCCGCUAGUAUUCUGGCGGGCAUGCCUGUUCGAGCGUCAUUUCAACCAUCAAGCCCUAGGCUUGCGUUGGAGCCCUGCGGCUGCCGCAGGCUCCCAAAUCCAGUGGCGGGCUCGUCGUCGUACCGAGUGCAGUAAACAUCCUCGCUCAGGGAACGUGACGGGUUCUUGCCGUGAAACCCCCCACACAUCAAGGUUGACCUCGGAUCAGGUAGGAAUACCCGCUGAACUUAAGCAUAUCAAUAAGCGGAGGA